rnacentral:rRNA from 1 species
CUUUAGUGGCGAACGGGUGCGUAAUACGUGAGAAUCUGCCCUUAGGAGGAGAAUAACUUCUGGAAACGGUUGCUAAGUCUCCAUAUGCCGAGAGGUGAAAUAGUUUAUACUGCCUAGGGAUGAGCUCACGCCUGAUUAGCUUGUUGGUAAGGUAAUGGCUUACCAAGGCCACGAUCAGUAGCUGGUUUGAGAGAACGAUCAGCCACACUGGGACUGAGACACGGCCCAGACUCCUCCGGGAGGCAGCAGUGAGGAAUUUUCCGCAAUGGGCGAAAGCCUGACGGAGCAAUACCGCGUGAGGGAUGAAGGAUUUUGGUCUGUAAACCUCUUUUUUCAAGAAAGAAGUUCUGACGGUACUUGAGGAAUAAGCAUCGGCUAACUCCGUGCCAGCAGCCGCGGUAAUACGGGGGAUGCAAGCGUUAUCCGGAAUCAUUGGGCGUAAAGCGCCUGUAGGUUGUUUAAUAAGUCUGUUGUUAAAGACUAGGGCUUAACCCUAGGAAAGCAAUGGAAACUGCUAGACUUGAGUAUGAUAGGGGUAGAGGGAAUUUCUAGUGUAGCGGUG